rnacentral:lncRNA from 1 species
GAGGAUCCAUGCUCAUUUGUAUAACCUGUAUACUCGUUGUAGUUUGACUAUCACAACUUCAUUCUUCUCUAAUCACAAGUAAGUCAUAGAGAUGGAACAAACAACAAAGCACCCAGUUGAGAACUAUGGUGACAUGUCCUGCAAUUAGUGCCAAGUGCAUCCACAUAAGCCCCAAGCAUGGAUUCCAUCAGCAUAUGCCGCAUGAGGAUGGCAUCACCUCUGCAUCAAUAAUUGCAACAUAAAUCAUUCCACGGCGUGUGAAGGACCAAAUCACAUGAACAUCAGAAGCAGGAAAAGGCAAAUUACUUGGGGAUGCAUUGAACUAGACUUUUAUAUACACCUAUACAUGAAAUUCCAAGUAUUAGUGCAGGAGAGUUGAAGCAUGCGAAGCAUAUAAUUGCAUCAUUAUAUGAACUUUACUAAAUAUGAGAGUCAUGACAAUUUGGUUAAUAAUAUCACGCCCAAUGUCUCAAAUGCCAGCCUAUGGACAAAUAUUAGACCAAAAGAUCAUGCCCAAGUUAAAAACAAUAUUAUUGUUAUAGCCCGGUUCGAGCUUUGUCCACUUGACCAGCUUGACCCAAAGUUGACCCAGCCCCAGUCUCUGGAACAAAAAGAAAAGAAAAAAAACAAAUCGGAACAAGAGAUCGUGAUAUCCUAACUGAGUGGGCCGAACGGCCACCAUUGAGGCACGACCGGUACGAAACCCUCGAGGCCAAUGCUAAUGGCUAGUGGGCCACCAUUGAGGUAUGGCCAGCACGAAACCCUCAGGGCCGAUGCUAACGGCCGACGGCCGUUAGAGGUUGUUGCAACUGAUGAACAACCAGCCGUUGCCACCAUUCAAUUGAGCUCAUCCCCUCUCCCACAGCUUCUAUAUAAACCAGUCCCCUUUAAAUAAUCCCUCACCACUCACCUCCCCACCUCUUUCCUCCUUUCUCUUUCCUUUUUGGUGGCCGGCGUACCA